GCUUUGUGGGAAAGGGAGUUCGCCAUGCUAUCGGCAUGGCAGCCGACGCUGCCGCCGCAUCGCGCGCGGCACAUUCCCC
rnacentral:tRNA from 1 species